CUCGGAAACCCCAGCGAUCGAUUUCCGAAGGCCGGGCCGAGCGAGCGCGUGUCCUGCAGUCUCGGGCCGCACCUCCAUCCCCAUGGCUUCGCAAGGCGUGGACCCGAGAGGGCUGGGAGAUGACGAGCUGCACUGCCUCCUCAGAGAGCUAGACGAAGUGAUCAGAGACUUCGAUAACGGCAGCAGCUGUCAGUAUGAGGAACAUCUGGAGGAGCUCAAGCAGAAGAGUGGCCUCGGCCUCGGCGUCUAUGACAGUGGGAUCGAUGAGGCUGAGAGUACCAGCCCAUCUCCAGGGAGCAGCUUAAACACCAGUGAGGAAAACAUUCACAUGCCAGCAACUUCUUCUGUUCCCAAAGCUAAGCUUGGAGACACAAAGGACCUGGAGGAUUACAUUGCUGACCUCGACAAAGAGCUGGAGGAAAUGUGAGACGCAGCCCUUGGUUGCCCGGUAGAGGUCCUCAAGAUGGAUCGCUGUAGAUGUGCCUGCCUGCAUACACCCCACAUGUUUGCUUUCUUCGUGGCCCUCCUCAGAAGGCCGGAGGGCAAAACCUCAGGGCCAGA
rnacentral:lncRNA from 1 species